rnacentral:rRNA from 1 species
UACGUAGGGACCGAGCGUUGUCCGGAAUCAUUGGGCGUAAAGAGCGUGUAGGCGGCUUGCUAAGUCUUGCGUGAAAUCUCGGGGCUCAACCCCGAGCGGUCGUGAGAAACUGGCAGGCUAGAGUGCGGGAGAGGAGAGUGGAAUUCCUGGUGUAGCGGUGAAAUGCGCAGAUAUCAGGAGGAACACCAAUGGCGAAGGCAGCUCGCUGGGACGUGACUGACGCUGGAGACGCGAAAAGCGUGGGGAGCAAACAGG